rnacentral:rRNA from 1 species
CCUACGGGAGGCAGCAGUGAGGAAUAUUGGACAAUGGGCGCAAGCCUGAUCCAGCCAUGCCGCGUGCAGGAAGAAGCAUCUAUGGUGUGUAAACUGCUUUUGUACAGGAAGAAACACUCCCUCGUGAGGGAGCUUGACGGUACUGUAAGAAUAAGGACCGGCUAACUCCGUGCCAGCAGCCGCGGUAAUACGGAGGGUCCGAGCGUUAUCCGGAAUCAUUGGGUUUAAAGGGUCCGUAGGCGGUUUAAUAAGUCAGUGGUGAAAUCUGGUCGCUCAACGAUCAAACGGCCAUUGAUACUGUUAGACUUGAAUUAUAAGGAAGUAACUAGAAUAUGUAGUGUAGCGGUGAAAUGCUUAGAUAUUACAUGGAAUACCAAUUGCGAAGGCAGGUUACUACUUAUGGAUUGACGCUGAUGGACGAAAGCGUGGGGAGCGAACAGGAUUAGAUACCCUGGUAGUCCACGCCGUAAACGAUGGAUACUAGCUGUUCGGAGCAAUCUGAGUGGCUAAGCGAAAGUGAUAAGUAUCCCACCUGGGGAGUACGUUCGCAAGAAUGAACUUAAAGGAAUUGACGGNUGAGAGNGCGAGACGACGACGAGGGAGGAGG